UCAUGUUCUCUUCUCCUGCCUGCCCAGGUCCACAGGGCUGCCUGGUUCCUGUCAUGUGACCUCCCUGCCUAAGCUACAGACGCUACCAGUAUGCUCGCUGCCCCCAGGCUCAUCUCCAGACCUGGUCUUGCUAGAGCCCCAGUGCGCCACCCCUGAGCCUGCUGCUGAACCUAAGCUUGGGUCCAGCCCUGCCCUGUGCUGUGUCGGAACUGGAGGACUGUUGUAAGCACUGCAUAAGAUGGCAAAUGCAGCUGUGUCUGGCACCCAGCAAGCACUCGAUCCAACUUGGGCAUCAUUAUUACUUGACCAGGAACUUCUGUGAAACUUGGUUAUGUCAAAAAGAGGAAGAUGAGGAUGACUGGGUCAUGGUCUCUUGUGAUCCCAGCAGGAGGACACAAGGAGAAAGCAGCCAUCUGCAGACUAGGAGGCAGACCCUGA